CGCUGCAGUAGGAAAUGGGGUGUUAUUCUAAACAGCAUUCCAGAAGCAUCAGGCCAACUUUAGGACUGAUUGAGCUACCCACAGUUCCUAAAAGAGGAGGCCAUGUGUCACCUCAGGGUUAUCUCUUAGGGAACAGCCAUGCCCUCCUAUGGUCUUCUUCUGUGGGGGACUUUGCCACAGAAUCCUGGGCCUAGUGAGAUUCAAUGUGACUAUGCCUCAGAACAAUGGAGGUUGACUUUGGCAACUUCUCAGAAAACUCGAGGUUGUGAACUCUGAGCUACAAAGAGUAUACAGCAGGCACACACUAGCCCCUGGCCCUCAGGGAAGGUUGACCAAAGGUGCUGUAACAAAUGCCAACAUCUGUGCAGGGACCCACGUGUUGAGCAGAGCAGGAAACCCACACUUCAAAAUUGCCUUAAAAUGACCAGGGUUCUGCGUUUGGGAGUUUGGCAACAGAGCAGGUAGCCAACCCUCCCUCUUAUCACAAUCUGGAAGCAUAAAAGCAGGAAUAGCAUCAUAACAUAAAAAAGGGGAAAAAAACUCAGCAGUGAGCACAGUUAUGCUUUAGCAUCAAGCAUCUUUAUGUUAUUUUUCAUCCAUUUUCAUCACCGUUGAGUCUCCAUGGUUUAUGAUUACCUUACGACAUUUUUAAAAAGAAAUUAACUUCAACUUUCUAGCAGCUAUCUGCUAAGAUACAGCUGAUGACUCAUAAAAUGUGAAUCACAACACUGGCAGGCCUGGCUGGAAGCCAUUAGUGUGCAGUGGUUACUCAGGCCCAUAUUCCCCGAGUUACAAUUUGCCACUUUUCAGAACCCAACACAUGUUUGUUCCCUCUCAUUUGGGAAGAAUAUGGAACAAGGGCUCUUGAAUAUGGAACAAGGCCUGAAGAAGAUGCUGCCCUGGACUUGUGGUAGUCCUGUGGGCCAGAUAACCCAAUGGCCAGUAUGAACCUCCCAUUUUAGAGGCGUAAAAGGGUUUCUUUCCCUCCCUUUCAGUUAGGAGUAUGUCACCCAGUUCUGGCAAGUGAUACAUAACGAGAGCAACUGAGAAGGCCUCUGCCUUCCUGCACUGAAGGAGAGUUGCUGGUGUUUCCCUUUCCCCUUCCUUCUUGCCUCGGAUGUGGAUGAGUAUCCGGAGUUUUAGCAGCCAUUUUGAAGACCUGAGGUAACAGCAUCAGGAUAAAGGUGAAGCAGUUAACGAUGAAUGGAGGCAAAAGACAGAAAAAGAUUUUAAGUCUUCAAUGACACCAUUGAGCUACUGGGCCGACCUGACACCCACCCACCUCCAGACUUCUUUGUAAAUCAGAUGAUAAAGAACCUUAGGACUUCUGCCUUGUGGUUAGUUUGGUAUUCUGUUACUUCCUACAGAAAGCAUUCCUGAUUGACGUGGGAAUUGAGCAUCUGUGGCCUAGAUCCCAUAUGCUACCUUUUCUUCCUGGGGCAAACGUGAAAUGUUGAACGAGGUAAGACAUUCAGAUAUGAUGCUAAUUACUCUCUAAGGCCCUUUUCCACCUAUCUCUUCUUCAUCCUCACUUAAACUGGCCCACUUCCAGUCCUGAUUCUCUCUCUCCUGGACCAUGCAAUAAUUCCUUAAUGUAUUUCCCCACUUCCUGCCUUCCCAUUCCACACUUUCCCUUUUGCCAGCAUUAGGUCCCAGAGUACCUUCCUAAACAAGUCAUUCUUUUAUCUCCCACUCACCCUAAACCUUCACUGGCUCCCCACUGCCUCCCAAGAAGAGCUAGACUCCUUAGGUUGAAACUCAGGGUAGGACUUUAUAGUGGUU
rnacentral:lncRNA from 1 species